GGGGAGUUUUUGGGGGAUGCCCCUUGUGGCCGCGGGGAACCCCAAGCGCUGCGGGCACAAGUCCUUCCGAGCAGGGUGAAGGGGAAGGAGAAGAGGAUCGGGGGGAGGCAGGGAGGAAAAAUCAUCCCCACGGCGCCGAGACUAUAGCUGCAUUCAUUAGCAAAGCGACAGAAGGGUCUCCUGCCUUUCCAGAAGGAUUGCUCGAGCAGAGCUCAAGGACUGGGCACAAUGCAGGGGCUGCACCGAGGGAGAGGACGGCUCCCGCAGCCCCCCGGAAUUCAAUGCAAAACCUGAGGGCUCAUACCUGCUGCUUUUAACACAGAAUUAACUGAUGUUGUAAGUCCCUCCAGCUCAAGAGUGAAAGUGGCAUUGACUGCAAGGAGAAAAGAGGAAGAAAUCACAUUUGCUGCUCAUGCAUCUGCCCGGAGAGGCCUUCUCAUGGCAAGCAGUGCUUGUGGCACAGCUCAGUGUCAGAACUGGUCUGCUAUCACCCGUCCCGGUUUGCUUAUCUCCUGACCAGGUUCACUCUUGUUUGUGUACGGAGAUUUCUGCCUUCUUCAUGCUCACGUGUUGUUGCUGCUCAUUUGCGAGCUCGGAAGAGUUUGGCAGCAGGCUGCAGUCAGUCGGAGCAGCCUCUAGGGUGUCCCUGAAGUUCUUUCUUAGCCAGCUGUGCUUCGUGCUCAGCUCGUUUGCUGUCUGAGCGAUGGGGUGGCAUUCGUACACCAGCCAAAGCACCGAUCAAAACCACCCGCUGAACCAUACCUCCCAGUGCUGGGCCGACCACGCAGCCGGCAACCUGCCUUGAGCAGCUCAUCGCCACUGCCCUUGGGGCCAGGAGAGAGGAUGCCAGCCCUUGGGGGCUGGAUACGUGCCCCAGCUCACCGCCACGGCCAGAACAGCAGCCUGGCACCCCUUCAUCCCUGUGGAGGACACGGUCUACACCGAACCCAUGCCCACCUUCUGGGAUGGCCGAACACCUCGACGGGCAGGACUGCACCUCCAUGGGUGGUAAGGUGGCCACCCAGGGCAUGCAUCCUGCACAUCCCACAGCCCUCCCUCCUCCUGAGGACACCUCCCCGAGGCAGGAGGACGCCUCCCCGACGGGCUGCAGGAGGCUGCUCGCCCCAGCAGCCCCCCACGUCCCCCAGCCACUUCCAGCCAGAGAAGGAGGAGGGCAGCGAGGGCCGGGGGAGGGCGCCAGGGCUGCCGGGCAGGGGCAGCCGCCCCGCCGCGCUUGUGCGGGCCUCUCUUGCCCUCUAGCGGGCAAAGCCAGCGGGGCGGCCCCGCAGUGCCCCCUGCGGCCUCCUCCUCUUCCUCGGCUUCCUCCUCCCUUCCCUGGGCAGGGCUCCCUGUGGGACAUCGGAGUGUGGGGCCCACCUCAGCAUCCCUCCCCCCCCCCCCGCCCCGUACCAGGGGACAAGCUGUGGGGUCCCCCCCUCAGCACCCCGUGUAUGGGCUCCUUGUGGGCUCCUGGGGUCAACAGGGACAGGGACCAAGUGCUAUGGCCCCAGAGAGCAACUGAACGAGUCUGUGGCAAUCAGUGGCCAUGUGUCUGGGUGGUAGAGGCUCCAUCCAUCUGCGGUGGUCCCUCCAACUGGUCGUGGUUGCCAACCACCUCCCUAUUGCUUGGGCGAAGCGAUGGAUGAGCCCCAAGGGAAGCACAGGGCUCAGUGCCCCCACUGCUGGGCAGACGUCAGGUGCCCGCUGCUGCUGCUGAAGAAAAAAGCAGAAGCUGGGGACAAGGGUGCUCCAGACAUGGUCCUGCCCCUGGAGGAGAUGGGGGCAACUCUGCAGUGAGCUCAUGGCUGAGUGGGACUCAAGAUGGGCUGCUCUUGGGAAAGGGAGAUUGUCCACAGUCGUGUGGGACCUACUGGUGUACCAUUGAAGGCAGGUUCUUCAAGUAGUUUAGCCUUUUUAUACAAAAAAAAAAAAAAAAAAAAAAAAAAAGUCCAUUUUUUUGCUGAUGAAUUACAAAAUAUUUCAGUAUCAUCAUCCCCAUUGUUUUCUUCCUUCACAGAUACAAAUUAGUGAAAACUUUGGCUUUUCCUACAUUAUUUUAUAUGUACUACGUCCAUCUAACAGAAGAUCUUCUAGCUUCUCUAAGAAUUCUUCCAUUGCAAGUAUGCUUUCAAAAAUUUGCUUUUCUUUUUAAAAAUGCUUGUGAUUGAUUUUCUUCCUGUAGCCUUCAACUUUAUUUUAUAUCCCUGUUUUCCCCAUUUGGUAGAUCACUUUAUUUUUGCACUCUCCCCAUUUUUCAAAUUAUCAAUAUUAUAUAUUGCAUUUUUUCUCUGCUGUUGUAAUCACUGAACUACUAUAGGCUAUCAUAAAAAGUUACCCUUUUUUAUGAAAUAGAUAGUUUUUAUCCCCUUCCCUCCCCUUUUUUUUUUAAUUUCUCACUCUUUGGGAAACCCUAAUACCUGUGGGAUGCCUUUCCCCUCUCGUCAUGGCUCCUUGAAGCUGAGCACUGACGAGAAAGCCCUCUGUUUGCUGGUAGUGAGCGUAGUCAGGUCACUUGGAAUGUAAUCACUUAGAAACCUCCACUCUCUGCUACAGUAUUAUAAUCCUUUGUAAUAUUUUGCAUGCCUGUGUCUGUUUCAUUUGCUUAAACACUAUCCAAUUACUUUGUUGAUAACUAACAUAUUUUGCAUGUUUUUGCCUGUUGAUUUCCUUAAUCAUUCUGCCACUAUUUCACUCAGCAGUAUGCAAACUGCACUCUGAUUUGGUGAUGUGAAGAGACAGAAAAUAAUAUAACCAUUUUCUUCAAAUAGUUACUGUGGAUAUGUACUAAUGUUUUCCUUUUGACUGGCCAAGGCAAAAACAUCUCUGACUACUGUCUGGGCUUGGUGUUACCUCAACUUGGUACUCCUGUACUUCUGCUUUUACAGCAAGACAAGAGACCCUUCCCUUUACAGGAAGGGAAGAGGCUGCUCAAGUAAAGGCAGCAGCCGUGGGUAGCUGAGGGACUGUAUGAUUACUAAACCAUUCCCCAUGGAGGACUGCCAUCUUCUGUUUGAGUUAUUUCUGUUUGCCCAAUGUGAAGAAGUUUAUAAAGGAACUGGGCAAAAGUAUGAGAAUAAAUGCUUUACAUUUUGGAGAGGGUGGGAGGUCAUGGAAAAUGCAUUCCAUAUUUUGGGUUUGAGAGAACAUCUGACAUAUUUGAUAGCCCAAUUCAAGAAAUAACAUAGUUAUAAGAGUCUGGGGUACAGCUAUGCCACUGCCUUCUUUGUGACAGUGGCAGUAGGAAACACCAGUUAAGGAGUACAUGUGUUCUUGGCCACCUUGUACAGUUUGUUCUCCUUGUUCUCCACCAGCAACCAUGACCACUGGGUUAGGGACAUCAUAAGGUACAUCCCUGCACAUUCUGUCUAGUAUUUGCUUAUAGACAGGCUGUUCCUGAAUUUGCAUAAUCCCAGUUUGAUCCUGCCUCCAUACUUCGUCUCAUAUGACAAUAAAAUCCAGAAUUUCACUAUCCUCUUUGUAAAAAAAGAACUUUCUUUUAUUGAUUUCAAACCAAUCUCUCACUAGUUUAAUUGAAUGACUCCUAAUCCUUGUGUUACAACAGCAGAGUAACAGUUAUGCCCCCCAUUCUCUUCAUGAUUUUGUAAAACUUACUCUUUGCCCUUAGACUUCUCCUCUCCAAACUGAAGAGUCACAGUCUAUGGAGCCUCUCAUCAGGCACCCAGGAGGCUCAAGGGUCUUACUUUCCCUUGAGGAGACAAUAAACAUUAUAAAUAUUACUGGAAACUUAGGUAAUGUCAAGCAAAACUAAGGGAUGAUAGAAGAUAGGACAAUAAGCAGGCUCAUAUGACAUGUUAGGUGCAGCUUAUAAGGCAAAUUAUCAAAAUCAUUUCAACCACGAGAAUCCCAGGGACAUGCUUUUGUUUGCUCACUGAAGGGUAAGUUUGCCAAGCACUGGUCAUGUAUAUAGUAUGUCAAAUGUUUUGUGGAACCAAUCAAUGCUAAAUUCCUUAACAAUUCAUGCAAUGUGACUAUCAUCACAGAGAAAACAGUGGACUUUUCACAUCAUGUAUCUUGUAGAGUACUAAAGAAGUACCCAGGUGUUGACUGUUAUAUAGCUCUGGUGAACACAGUUUUAACCAUGGAAACCGUAUCAAAAGAUUACCUCAAGUGUUGAUGGCUUGGCUAACUAUGC